UACAGAGGGUGCAAGCGUUGUUCGGAAUUACUGGGCGUAAAGCGCGUGUAGGUGGCGAUGUAAGUCGGGUGUGAAAUCCCUCAGCUUAACUGAGGAAGUGCACUCGAUACUGUGUCGCUUGAGUGUUGGAGGGGAUGGCGGAAUUCCCGGUGUAGAGGUGAAAUUCGUAGAUAUCGGGAGGAACACCUGUGGCGAAGGCGGCCAUCUGGACAACUACUGACACUGAGGAACGAAAGCCAGGGGAGCAAAGCGGG
rnacentral:rRNA from 1 species